GACGAACCGUGCGAACGUUAUUCGGAAUCACUGGGCUUAAAGCGCGUGUAGGCGGGACGGCACGUCGGUCGCUGAAAGCCCCCGGCUCAACCGGGGAACGGGCGCGAUACGACCGCCCUGGAGGAACGUAGGGGGACCUGGAACUUCCGGUGGAGCGGUGAAAUGCGUUGAGAUCGGAAGGAACGCCCGUGGCGAAAGCGAGGUCCUGGACGUUUACUGACGCUGAGACGCGAAAGCCAGGGGAGCGAACGGG
rnacentral:rRNA from 1 species